UGCAGUCGUACGGACGUAGCAAUACGUCAGUGGCGAACAGGUGAGUAAUGAAUCGCUAAUGUGCCCCGGACUCUGAGAUAGCCAGUUGAAAGACUGGGUAAUAUCAGAUGAUAUAACUUUGUCGCAUGACAGAGUUCUCAAAGGUCCGCCGGUCUCCGGUAGAAACGGUCUGGGAGCAGGCGAUUUCGUAUCAGCUUGUUGGUGAGGUAACGGCUCACCAAGGCGACGACGCGUAACCGGACUGAGAGGUUGGCCGGUCACAUUGGGACUGAGACACUGCCCAGACUCCUACGGGGGGCUGCAGUAACGAAUCUUCCGCAAUGCACGAAAGUGUGACGGAGCGACGCCGCGUGUAGGACGAAGCCCUUCGGGGUGUAAACUACUGUCAGGGGCUACCAAGUUCUGAGGAGCCCCAGAGGAAGGGACGGCUAACUCUGUGCCAGCAGCCGCGGUAAGACAGAGGUCCCGAGCGUUAGGCGGAAUCACUGGGCUUAAAGCGUGUGUAGGCGGAUCUGUAAGUACCUUGUGAAAUCCCACGGCUUAACCGUGGAACUGCUCGGUAUACUGCGGAUCUUGAGCCACCUANGGGCGAGCGGAACAAGUGGUGGAGCGGUGAAAUGCGUAGAUAUCACUUGGNACGCCAAUGGUGAAAACAGCUCGCUGGGGGNGUGCUGACGUUGAGACACNAAAGCCNGGGGAGCGAACGGGAUUAGAUACNCCGGUAGUCCUGGGCCGNAAACGAUGUCGACUAANAUCGCANUGGNUCUGANGCUAUUGCGGUCGAAGCAAAAG
rnacentral:rRNA from 1 species